rnacentral:lncRNA from 1 species
GAAGUGAUGGAAUUACAGAUUCACAAUUUAUGGUGAAUAACUUACAAGCAAAUAAUUAAAGAUCUACAAAAGUAAAUUCAUUGAUGGAUUGAAUUGGGUUGUCCACAAAAAAAGGAAAAUCAAAGGUAACACUCUGAGAAAAUAUUAGUACUUACAAAUCUAUAAGACAAAUAUUAAUGAAACUUCAUGGUCCAAGAUUGUUUGUACUUCUAUUUGCCUGAAAG